UGGUGUGUGGUUUUGUUGUUGACUUCAUGGAGAGAGUGGGAGCACGGUUUUCAUGGUAGAAAAGUGUGGAAGGAAAGGUUUGACUUGGAAAAUGAAGCACAUUGCACAAAAAGGAAGCAACACAUUACUUGGUUUGUUGAAGGAAGAGAAUGAAAUGGUUCUUUGGAGCAUGGUCACUCACGUGAAUUGCUAGGAAAAUGUGGUGUUUGUUUAUUUCUUUUUCUUUAAAUUAAUUUGCAUAGUAGGAUUAGUUGCUUUUUAGUUUCUCUAAUUUAGUUUUGCAUUUAAUUUAAAUUAACUUUGUUAGAUAAUUGUUUAGUCUAGUAUUUGGGUUAGCAUUUUCACUCUCUGGACUCGAUUUUAAGAAAAAUAACUGCAACCAUACCAGAGGUCCAAAUGCUACGUUUUAUAUUUCACAUGAAAGAUAAUUGAGUCUACUUUCCAAGAUAAAAAACCUCAUCUCAUUUAGAGCUCUGUAGAAAAAGUUAUGGGUAAAACAUUGAGCAAAGGUCAAAGUUGUCCAGUUCCAGCGUGAAUUUUAAAUUUUCCGCAUUCACUACAAAAACACUUUUCAAAAUCCCCCC
rnacentral:lncRNA from 1 species